GAUGAACGCUGGCGGCGUGCCUAAUACAUGCAAGUCGAGCGAACAGACGAGGAGCUUGCUCCUCUGACGUUAGCGGCGGACGGGUGAGUAACACGUGGAUAACCUACCUAUAAGACUGGGAUAACUUCGGGAAACCGGAGCUAAUACCGGAUAAUAUAUUGAACCGCAUGGUUCAAUAGUGAAAGACGGUUUUGCUGUCACUUAUAGAUGGAUCCGCGCCGGAUUAGCUAGUUGGUAAGGUAACGGCUUACCAAGGCAACGAUGCGUAGCCGACCUGAGAGGGUGGUCGGCCACACUGGAACUGAGACACGGUCCAGACUCCUACGGGAGGCAGCAGUAGGGAAUCUUCCGCAAUGGGCGAAAGCCUGACGGAGCAACGCCGCGUGAGUGAUGAAGGUCUUCGGAUCGUAAAACUCUGUUAUUAGGGAAGAACAAAUGUGUAAGUAACUAUGCACGUCUUGACGGUACCUAAUCAGAAAGCCACGGCUAACUACGUG
rnacentral:rRNA from 1 species